UACAGAGGGGGCGAAGCGUUGUUCGGAAUUACUGGGCGUAAAGGGCGCGUAGGCGGCCUUCUAAGUCGAACGUGAAAUCCCCGGGCUCAACCCGGGAACUGCGUCCGAUACUGGAAGGCUUGAAUUCGGGAGAGGGAUGCGGAAUUCCAGGUGUAGCGGUGAAAUGCGUAGAUAUCAGGAGGAACACCGGUGGCGAAGGCGGCCCUCUGGACGGAUACUGACGCUGAGGCGCGAAAGCGUGGGGGAUCAAACAGG
rnacentral:rRNA from 1 species